AGGAUUUCCCACCUCGCUCCCGCGACUCCGCUGCGGGUCUGCACACCCGAGGACUCGGGGUACUUAACCGAAACUAGCAAUCCCAGGCGGUACAAGGCCCUCCAUCGUAGGCAAAGCACUACCUGAAUGUAGAUUUGGGCCAUACGUUGGAAAAUAAGACAUGAGAGUAUGCUCCGAUCAACUUUUACUGUUCACUGGACAACUAUUUUGGGAAUUUGCAGACCUAUAAAGCCCAUCUAUAAAUCUCAAGCAUGUCCACUUUCAGAGAAGAGAAAUGCUGACAACCAUUUAGUCUCUGAGGACAACACUUUUAAAGUGUAACAAUGUGGCAUCCAGAGCUUAUCCAGAUGAGCGGAGAGCAAAUGAAUUUCCUUCUGCUCCCCUGUUGAAGAGGAGAGAAAAAUUCUUCAAGCUACGUUUUCCUUCCGUACACUCAUCAGUCCAAGAGGGAUGAAGCUUGUGGAAAUUUUGCAGCAGCCUUCCCUGACCAUGGUGGCCUGAAGUGCACCUUGACUCCAUCAUAGGACUGGAGAGAGAUUGGAUGUCAGAGUGAUUGAUGUGCUCCUACUGGAAGAAGGCAAACAUCCAUAUGUGAACUGCCUGUGGGGUUUCCAAGGAAAGGAACGGCAGGCAGCCUCUAUGAGCUUAAAGAAGAUAACUGGGACUUUAGUCCUAUAACCUCAAGGAACAGUAUUCUGUGAACCAUCUGAGAAGCUUGGAAGAGGACCCCAAACUCCAAAUAAGAAGCUCAGUGUGUCUGACACCUUGACUGCAGGCUUGGGAGGUCCUGAGCAGAAGAUCCAGUUCAACAGUGCCUGGACUCCUGAUCCACAAAAACUGAUAACAAAUAUUUAUUGUUUUAA
rnacentral:lncRNA from 1 species